UGGGGAAUCUUGCACAAUGGGGGCAACCCUGAUGCAGCGACGCCGCGUGAGCGAUGAAGCCCUUCGGGGUGUAAAGCUCUUUCGACAGGAACGAUAAUGACGGUACCUGGAGAAGAAGCUGCGGCUAACUACGUGCCAGCAGCCGCGGUAAUACGUAGGCAGCAAGCGUUGUUCGGAGUUACUGGGCGUAAAGAGUGCGUAGGCGGUUCUGCAAGUUCGGUGUGAAAUCUCCCGGCUUAACUGGGAGGGUGCGCCGGAAACUGCAGGGCUGGAGUGUGGGAGAGGCAAGCGGAAUUCCUGGUGUAGCGGUGAAAUGCGUAGAUAUCAGGAGGAACACCGGCGGUGUAGACGGCUUGCUGGACCAUGACUGACGCUGAGGCACGAAAGCGUGGGGAGCAAACAGG
rnacentral:rRNA from 1 species